GGAGGGUGCGAGCGUUGUUCGGAAUUACUGGGCGUAAAGAGCUUGUAGGCGGCUUGCUAAGUCUGAUGUGAAAUCCCUUGGCUCAACCGAGGAAGUGCAUUGGAUACUGGUGAGCUUGAGUAUGGGAGAGGAGAGCGGAAUUCCCGGUGUAGAGGUGAAAUUCGUAGAUAUCGGGAGGAACACCUGUGGCGAAGGCGGCUCUCUGGACCAAUACUGACGCUGAGAAGCGAAAGCGUGGGGGGAGCAAACAGGAUUAGAUACCCUGGUAGUCCACGCCCGUAAACGAUGGGUACUAGGUGUUGGGGGUUUUACUCCUCCCAGUGCCGGCGCUAACGCACUAAGUACCCCCGCCUGGGAAGUACGGCCGCAAGGCUA
rnacentral:rRNA from 1 species